CUCUGGCACAAACUGUGCCUUGGUUUAACCAUAAAUCCAGUGUUGCGCGUCAGUGUUGAAGUAAAGCUGUGCGUCAUGUAAGGAGUCCAGUUCAGUCAUGGAAUGUGACAAACGCAUCCCCAUACUGGAGAUUCCCACAGGAAAUUUCGAUUCUUAGUCAUUAACAGGCAGAAUCCAUGUGAAAUUGUGAUUAAAAGUCUAAUUUUCUUUAAUUUUUUGCACGUUUAACAACAAAAAUGUUCAUACUUGUAGGUAUAUUUACAAUUAAAGAGGGCAAAACUUGUAGCAGCCAUCAUAGCUAUACAGCCUAAUAGGGACAUUUCUAUUUUUAGGUUGCUAUGAGACAGCACAGAGGCAGUUUCUAAUGAGAACAGUGAUGUUCUCAGCCCUGCAAGGAACAGGAGAAAAAGCCAUUAAUGCUCAUACAAAUGGAUUCCCUGUGUUGUUAUGCAGAUGAACAGAUGAAUUGAUCAGUAGGACGAAAGAGGUAAAAGUGUUGCUGCUUAAAAAGGAACCAUCUUUGGGGUAUUUUAAUGGACUAUUUAGGAAUUGAUUUGAAUUUUUCUUGGAAAUUAUGAAAAAGAAGGUUGAAAUUCUUCAAUAAAAUGAUUUAUUUAAAGAUAUGUCAUUUCAUUUCAAAAGUUCAAAGUAAAAAAUAAAAGGAAUUUAGCAUUGUUUUCUUUUUCUUUUUAUGUUGAAGACAUAAAAGUUAAAGCUACAACACAAUUUCUUUGAACCCUCUUUUUGUUGCUUCUUUAAUGAGAACACGUCACAACAUUUACCUUGCUGCAAAAGUCAAUUUAAAUGUAAGGGACUCUGUGUUGUCAAGUAGAGAAUUUUUGCACAAUUGUGAGGUAAAACAACAUUUUUUUUCUUCGUAAUUCAAGAAAUUCAUGUAAAAUUCUCUAUCCUAGCUUAUUGCUUUCUCCACACAAUAGAUGUGACAUGCUCUCUCUUUGCCUUCAUUUUCAGAACAAUCAGUUCUGCCUGUAAGUGCCACCGAGUCGCGCCGCCACGUCUCCAGUCAUAACUGCUGAUCUCUGCAUGAGGCACAGCCACACAGAACAGGAGCAUUAUGAUGGAAUUCCACUCUGUCAGUCAUUCCUUCCUCUGUUGUGAGCAGAUGAUGCAGGCGAGACGGCUCUUAUGGCACAGCAUCUGAGGCGGCUGAUGCCUUGGUAAACACGGCGCACGGUAACAGAUGGAGCUCCAAGCACUGAUGGGUGGUCUGCUGUUAGUUUAAGAUAAUGGGACUGAGUAACCCUUUUGCUCUGAGGUGCUCCUCAUCUUUUCCUUUCUGUGAGCAGCCCAUUUACCAUCUUUUGAAUGUCUUGGACAUAAUUAUUUCUCUGUAAGUGCUGUACAUUUUGCUCUGUAGGAGUGACCCAUCUCUGCAAGGAAUGACACUAUGUGUCACCGUGUGCUUAGAGUUGACUAAAAGUGAAAAUAUAAAUUUAGAUGCAGGGCUAAAAGCAUAAAAAGACUGCAUCAGAAAAAAAAGAAUUACAGCUAAACGUAUGGAGAUAUGCAGUUUGCUCUCCUUACAUGCACACCAACCCAUCUUCCUUCGCCUCUGUCUUUUUUAUUGUGUCGUCAUGGUGAUGGUUUUUCGUCUUUGAGUCUAAUUAAAGAGAGAGCUUUAGAUGUAUUGACUAUUUCAGCUCACAGAAAUCCUCUUUUCCAAUACCUUUCCUUGUGUCGUCAUCAAAAGGGUAACCUUUAAUUAGACCGAUGCGCAUGCAGCUACACCAACCGGAGCCCAUGUGGAGAGAAACAAACGGCGUCGACAACACAGAAGGCUGGCACAAACUUUUAUUUAUCUCCAUUUGUUGUGCCUUUCAGCGAAAAUUGCUGUGGAAAAAAAAGAAAGAAAAA